UACGGAAUAUUGGUCAAUGGACGCAAGUCUGAACCAGCCAUGCCGCGUGAAGGAUGAAGGUCCUCUGGAUUGUAAACUUCUUUUAUCUGGGACGAAAACGGGAUUUUUAUCUCAAUUGACGGUACCAGAGGAAUAAGCACCGGCUAACUCCGUGCCAGCAGCCGCGGUAAUACGGAGGGUGCGAGCGUUAUCCGGAUUUACUGGGUUUAAAGGGUGCGUAGGUGGGCUUAUAAGUCAGUGGUGAAAUCUCCGAGCUUAACUUGGAAACUGCCGUUGAUACUAUAGGUCUUGAAUUAUCUGGAGGUAAGCGGAAUAUGUCAUGUAGCGGUGAAAUGCUUAGAUAUGACAUAGAACACCAAUUGCGAAGGCAGCUUACUACAUAUAAAUUGACGCUGAGGCACGAAAGCGUGGGGAUCAAACA
rnacentral:rRNA from 1 species